rnacentral:rRNA from 1 species
GACGAACGCUGGCGGCGUGCCUAAUACAUGCAAGUCGAACGCAGUGGGGACGGGUGAGUAACACGUGGGUAACCUCCCAUCAGAGGGGAUAACACUUGGAAACAGGUGCUAAACCGAUACUGAUGGAUGGACCCGCGGUUCAUUAGCGAGUUGGUGCGGUAACGGCUCACCAAGGCCACGAUGCAUAGCCGACCUGAGAGGGUGAUCAGACACCAUGGGACUUAGAUACGGCCCAGACGCCGACGGGAGGCAGCAGUAGGGAAUCGUCGGCCAUGGACGAAAGUCUGACCGAGCAAAGCCGAGUGAGUGAAGAAGGUUUUCGGAUCGUAAAACUCUGUUGUUAGAGAAGCGGUAUCUAACCAGAAAGCCACGGCUAACUACGUGCCAGCAGCCGCGGUAAGUC